GCAUAUCAAUAAGCGGAGGAAAAGAAACCAACAGGGAUUGCCUUAGUAGCGGCGAGUGAAGCGGCAAAAGCUCAAAUUUGAAAUCUGGCUCUUUCAGAGUCCGAGUUGUAAUUUGAAGAAGGUAUCUUUGGGUCUGGCUCUUGUCUAUGUUUCUUGGAACAGAACGUCACAGAGGGUGAGAAUCCCGUGCGAUGAGAUGAUCCAGGCCUAUGUAAAGUUCCUUCGAAGAGUCGAGUUGUUUGGGAAUGCAGCUCUAAGUGGGUGGUAAAUUCCAUCUAAAGCUAAAUAUUGGCGAGAGACCGAUAGCGAACAAGUACAGUGAUGGAAAGAUGAAAAGAACUUUGAAAAGAGAGUGAAAAAGUACGUGAAAUUGUUGAAAGGGAAGGGCUUGAGAUCAGACUUGGUAUUUUGUAUGUUACUUCUUCGGGGGUGGCCUCUACAGUUUAUCGGGCCAGCAUCAGUUUGGGCGGUAGGAGAAUUGCGUUGGAAUGUGGCACGGCUUCGGUUGUGUGUUAUAGCCUUCGUCGAUACUGCCAGCCUAGACUGAGGACUGCGGUUUGAUACCUAGGAUGUUGGCAUAAUGAUCUAA
rnacentral:rRNA from 1 species